rnacentral:rRNA from 1 species
UACAGAGGGUGCAAGCGUUAAUCGGAUUUACUGGGCGUAAAGGGCGCGUAGGCGGCGUGCACAGUCGGAUGUGAAAUUCCUGGGCUUAACCUGGGGGCUGCAUUCGAUACGUGCAUGCUUGAGUGCGGAAGAGGGUCGUGGAAUUCCCAGUGUAGAGGUGAAAUUCGUAGAUAUUGGGAAGAACACCGGUGGCGAAGGCGGCGACCUGGUCCGAUACUGACGCUGAGGCGCGAAAGCUAGGGGGAGCAAACAGG